CCAGACUCCUACGGGAGGCAGCAGUGGGGAAUAUUGCACAAUGGGGGAAGCCCUGAUGCAGCGACGCCGCGUGAGUGAAGAAGUAUUUCGGUAUGUAAAGCUCUAUCAGCAGGGAAGAAAAUGACGGUACCUGACUAAGAAGCCCCGGCUAACUACGUGCCAGCAGCCGCGGUAAUACGUAGGGGGCAAGCGUUAUCCGGAUUUACUGGGUGUAAAGGGAGCGUAGACGGUGAUGCAAGUCAGAAGUGAAAGCCCGGGGCUCAACUCCGGGACUGCUUUUGAAACUGUGUGACUGGAGUGCAGGAGAGGUAAGCGGAAUUCCUGGUGUAGCGGUGAAAUGCGUAGAUAUCAGGAGGAACACCAGUGGCGAAGGCGGCUUACUGGACUGUAACUGACGUUGAGGCUCGAAAGCGUGGGGAGCAAACAGGAUUAGAUACCCUCGUA
rnacentral:rRNA from 1 species